UACGUAGGUGGCAAGCGUUGUCCGGAUUUACUGGGCGUAAAGGAUGCGUAGGCGGAUGUUUAAGUGAGAUGUGAAAUACCCGAGCUCAACUUGGGUGCUGCAUUUCAAACUGGAUAUCUAGAGUGCAGGAGAGGAAAGCGGAAUUCCUAGUGUAGCGGUGAAAUGCGUAGAGAUUAGGAAGAACACCAGUGGCGAAGGGCGGCUUUCUGGA
rnacentral:rRNA from 1 species